CUAAUAUCUAACAGUCUACAGUCUAUGAUCUAUAGCUACUGCGCGUCAAUCCAAACGCGCAAGACUCCUGUAUUAAGAAAAGAGCACACCGCCGAGCCACUGCCUUUGACAAAAUGAAUUUCGAACAGUCUAAGCGGUGCCCCUACCUUUCUGUCUCUCGAUCUCUUCCCUGACAGCUUUGUCGACAUCGGGCGCUUGAAUAGGAUAUCUGUUGACCAGAUACCACAUAAUAGGGGUGAUGAUGACAAUGAGCGCCAUGAAGCAUGUAGUAGCGGCGAAUCCGGGAAUGUAUCUAGGCGCGUCCUGGCUGGGCCAAAGGAAAACGCCAUAGAUGGAAGCAGAACAUCCCAAGGCGUUCACCAGGGCGAUAGCCACACCACGUUUCUCCGCUGGAUGCGUUAGAACAUUUGGCACCCAGGAAAGCGCUUACGAGUGGGGGAAGGGCGUAAACACAGCCGAAGGCUAAGAUAAGGAAGACGUAUUGCACCAUGUGGGUGGUGACACAAGUCACAAUGAUGAAGAAAAUUGUACCCAAGGCCCCUCCAACCAUGAUGAAGAGAGGUUUGGCUUUAUAGUAAUCGGCCCCCCAGCAGAAGCCAAUGAUACAGACGCUAUUAACUGAUGUUAGUUCGCGUGGGACAACGUACGGAUGAAAU
rnacentral:sRNA from 1 species